rnacentral:misc_RNA from 1 species
UUUCCGUAGGUGAACCUGCGGAAGGAUCAUUAUUGUAUAACCGAGGUGCGAGGGCUGUCGCUGACCCGACAUGUCGUGCACGCCCGAGUGCCCUCACACACAUCCAUCUCACCCCUAUUUGCACCACCGUGUUGGUCCCCCUUUGGCUUGUUCGGAGGGGGGCUUACGUUUUCACACAAACUUUGUAUGCAGUGUAGAAUGUAUUUUUUGUUUUUGCGAUCACGCAAUCAAUACAACUUUCAACAACGGAUCUCUUGGCUCUC